rnacentral:rRNA from 1 species
AGCAGCCGCGGUAAUUCCAGCUCCAAUAGCGUAUAUUAAAGUUGUUGCAGUUAAAAAGCUCGUAGUUGAAUUUCGGGGUUAGUAGGUUGGUCAUGCCUCUGGUAUGUACUGAUCUCACUGAUUCCUCCUUCCUUACGAACCGUAAUGCCAUUAAUUUGGUGUUGCGGGGAAUUUGGACUGUUACUUUGAAAAAUUAGAGUGUUUAAAGCAGGCUAACGCUUGAAUACAUUAGCAUGGAAUAAUGAAAUAGGACGUUCGAUCUUAUUUUGUUGGUUUCUAGGAUUGACGUAAUGAUUAAUAGGGAUAGUUGGGGCAUUAGUAUUCAAUUGUCAGAGGUGAAAUUCUUGGAUUUAUUGAAGACUAACUACUGCGAAAGCAUUUUGCCAAGGAUGUUUUCAUUAAUCAAGAACGAAAGUUAGGGGAUCGAAGACGAUCAGAUACCGUCGUAGUCUUAACCAUAAACUAUGCCGAACUAGGGAUCGGAUGAUGUUAAUUUUUAAUGACUCAUUCGGCGCC